rnacentral:SRP_RNA from 1 species
GCCGGGCAUGGUGGUUCGUGCCUGUAGUCCCAGCUACUUGGGAGGCUGAGGCAGAAGAAUCGCUUGAACCCAGGAGGAAGAGGGUGCAGUGAGCUGAGACUGCACCACUGCACUCCAGCCUGGGGAACAAAGUGAGACUCUGUCUCAA